GACGAACGCUGGCGGCGUGCUUAACACAUGCAAGUCGAGCGGUAAGGCCUCUUGGGGGGUACACGAGCGGCGGACGGGGGCGUAACACGUAGGUGAGCUGCCCUCAGCUCUGGGAUAGGCAUGGGAAACUGGGUCUAAUACCGGAUAUGACCUUUACUCGCAUGGGGUUGGGUGGAAAGUUUUUUCGGCUGGGGGUGGGCCCGCGGCCUGUCAGCUAGUCGGUGGGGUGAUGGCCAACCAAGGCGGCGACGGGAAGCCGGCGUGCGGGGGCGACCGGCCACGCCGUGACGGAGGCACGGGCCGGGCUCCUUCGGGAGUCAGCGGUGGGGAAAAGUGCGAAAGGGGCGGAAGCCUGACGGAUCGACGCCGCGUGGGGCAUGACGGCCUGCGGGGAAUAAACCUCUUUCGACCCAGACGAAUUUGGACGGUAGGGGUAGAAGAAGCACCGGCCAACUACGUG
rnacentral:rRNA from 1 species